CAGCAGCCACGGUAAUCCGAAGGGUGCAAGCGUUAAUCGGAAUUACUGGGCGUAAAGCGUGCGUAGGCGGUGAGUUAAGUCUGCUGUGAAAUCCCCGGGCUCAACCUGGGAAUGGCAGUGGAUACUGGCAAGCUAGAGUGUGUCAGAGGAUGGUGGAAUUCCCGGUGUAGCGGUGAAAUGCGUAGAGAUCGGGAGGAACAUCAGUGGCGAAGGCGGCCAUCUGGGACAACACUGACGCUGAGGCACGAAAGCGUGGGGAGCAAACAGGAUUAGAUACCCCCGUAGUCCCUGUCUCUUAUAC
rnacentral:rRNA from 1 species